rnacentral:sRNA from 1 species
UAACAGAAGAUUUGGGAACAGUGUAAC